ensembl:lincRNA
UGUAACUAACCUGCACAUUGUGCACAUGUACCCUAAAACUGAAAGUAUAAUAAUAAUAAAAUAAAAUAAAAAGUUUUAAAUGUAAAAAAAAAAAACAGAAAAUGUGUUUUAAUUCUGUGAGUCCUUCCCGAGUACACUUGACACUGUGAUGUGAGCUUUUCACGAAUGCACCCUUCACCAUGUCUCCUGUUAGCUCAUCCUGGUCUCCAUAAAGCUGCAUAGUUAGGAAGGUAAUCUUCUUGGUUCUCCUGACUUCUGCGUGUCAGAGAGCUACUGAAAGUGAAAGCAUCCAAGAGAGUGUAAAAUACUUUAAAGAUGUGAGAUACUACUUUAUUGUUAAUCUGUGUUGUUAAAAAAAUUCUAAAUGAUGAUGAAUAUGCUUGUUCUCCUUCUCCAGGCAAGCAAGAUGAUAAUUUGAUGUUUGAGUUAACCUGAUGAGUUUUUGUAGCUGUCAAGAGCUCUAAAAUUGAGCCAAUGAAAGCAAAAUUCAAUAGAUGAAAGCAAAAAAAUGAAGAAGACAGCAUUAAAGGAAAAGAUCAAGCUUUCUAGCAUCAUACUGGCUAUUAAUAAUGCCUUUGGCUUUGGGAUUGGGAUUUUUUGAUGUGACCAAACAGCCAUUUAUGUUCUCAGAAAACUGGAAUAGGAAUAUCCUAUGGUGGAAGAAAAGAAUGGACCAUGAUGAAAAUUUCUACACCAGAAGAGUUUAAAGAUGAAGAAAGCACCACAGAAGCAGUUCAUGUCUCACUAAGGCUAGACACUGAUGGAUCUAACGUCUCUCUUCAGAAUUUAUUGGCAUUUAACACCUAUUAUCGUCAACUCUGGAGUCCUCAGCUAAACUCCAAGAGAACAGGCAAGCUACAUAUUACCAAGUCUAGAAGCAUCCGUGUAAUAUAUCAGCCAUGAAUGAUCCAGUCUCUGACCUAUGUAUGUAUACUUACACUAACACUUCUAUAUCUAAAACAUUUAUUCAUGUCUUGCCACUUUUUAUAUUUCAACUGUAAAUGUAUAUGUGUCUUCCUUGCCAAGCCUUAUUUCAGUUUUUGAGUGGAAGAGACUAUAUAUUAUGCUGAUUGGUAUUCUCCACAACAUCAAGUAUCAUAUUCCUAAGCUUUAAGUGAAAUAGAGAAUGAUCACAUUUUAAGUUAGUAAAGGACAUACAUAGAAUUCCUUACAACAUCAUUAUGAAGCUCCAUUAUCAUGAAAUGAGCUAAAAAACUGAAAAUCUAAACCCUUAAUAUUUCAGGCUUUUCUUUUUCUGAAGUUAUUUUGUUGAUGGGGUAAAAAUCAACAUAUUGGUCUAUAGGUACACAAAUCUAAAUGUAUGCUUACUAGCUAGAAAUUCACAAACUGGACAAAAUAUGAGCAGUCAUGUUAGUAAGAAUUUCUUGCAUUGAGGUAUUAUCUUUUACAUGAGCAUCUUAAAAUAUGUAUUUUCCCCACACACUAUAUUGUAGAAGUCUCUUCCUAUGCCUAUAAAAUUUGGAACAAUUUAUAAAAUUGGCAGUUUAUAUAUAAACACACUGAUGAAGAGUUUGUGAUGCUCAAGUUUUAACUCCUCAUCCAGAGCUUUCUCCACAAGACCAUCUUUUAUUCCUUAUUUGAUACCUCAGGUCCUAUAAACCAGGGAAAGAAUGAAAGACAGCAUCAUUUGAGAAUCUGAAGGAUGGAUAACCAUCUGGCUGCUGGAUUAAGAGUUGAGAAAGGAAGAGCUGGUCAAUAAGUCAAUGAAAGGCUGUUGUCGCUGUGCCUGGCAGUGGAUAUGAGAUUAGUGGUAUAGUCACUACAAAGCUGGCAGUCAGAAAGAAGAGGUGGUUGCAGAGCAAGGAGGGCAAAGACAGCUGGAACUUGCUGGGACUUCUGUAUGCUUUCUCAGCACAUUUACCCACUAGGACCUUAACAGAGCAAUGGCUGCCUGCAUAGGGCUGCCUUCCAAACCCUGCCAUAUUUCUUUUUAGGACAAAACUGGCCAUAAAGGAAAUGGGAUUCUGGAAAGUAUAGUUCUAACUUAGCCCUUUUCGUCCUUAAAUCAAUCUUUCACUUGGGUUUCCAGCAGGUCACUGCCUCAUCUCUCCCUUACUGUUUCUCUGAAUGCUGCUUCUUAAACAAAAAUAGAUAGGGACAUGAGUGUGAAUAUAAAUAUGGAUAUGUAUCUAGAUAUAUGGAUAUGAAGAUUAAUUCUAUUUGGACUUGGAUUUGCUUAGAUAUAUUUAGAUAGAUUACAAAAUGAUUCAAACCAAUUAGGUUACUCAGCAAAUGUUAGAUUCUUUUAGUAAAUGUUAGUAGACUCUGUAAAUAGUUAAGUGGCAAUUUUAUAUAUAUCCCUUGUCUCACAAACUUACUAAUAGAUGCUAUCUUACAAUAAAACCAAAUUUCAGACGAAGUUCCAUCAAACUUAUGAUCAUUUGUUACCAAAAUGUCUCCUAAGUGGUUAUGCAAGAGUUACACAGCUUGGAGGAAAUCCAAUUUCUGCCUAGAUACAUUGAUUUUACCACCUUGUAUGAGAGGCUCACUGAAGUGAAUGCACUGAUGUUCUGACAGCGUAUCAAGUCAGGCUUAGAGUAGAAUCCUUCAUCUGAUUUCUCCAGGAAGUAGAGAAACAGGACCAAUGAGACUGUAGACUUUGGUUAUUCCACCAAUGACGUUAAACUGCUGGGCUUGUUGAACUUUUAUAUUUCACUUAUUCAAGGUGGUGAGGCUUCUAUAAUAUAUUUUAACCAUGCAUCUAUCUUGAAAAUUGUCAUUUUACCAAUUAUGAUUAACAAACACUGUGGGAUAUAUUUCAAUAAAUAUAUGUCACAUGUUAAGUAACCAUUUUGAAAAUGUUGAUUCCUGGUUAAAUGGACUUCAAAUGCUAAUAACCACACCUAAAGUGGUUAGAGUUCAUUUACACACUCACACACAUACACACACCUGUUUAUAUAAAACUAUUGUAAAGUAAAUCAACACAUAAGCAAUAGAAUUAUAAAUAAUUAAUAAACAAUCUAAGUAUAGCUAUGUAUAGCUGUAUAACCCACCAGCUGAGCUACUCUAUGUUUGGAAAGGCA